GUUGUAUAGUCAAGUAAUUAAGUGCAUGUGGUGGAUGCCUUGGCAGUCAGAGGCGAAGAAAGACGUGAUAGCCUGCGAAAAGCUCCGGGGAGGCGGCAAAUAUCCUUUGAUCCGGAGAUUUCUGAAUGGGGGAACCCACCUACCUUAAGGUAGGUAUUGCAACAUGAAUACAUAGUGUUGCAAGGCGAACGCGGGGAAGUGAAACAUCUCAGUACCCGUAGGAAAAGAAAUCAAUUGAGAUUCCCUCAGUAGCGGCGAGCGAAAGGGGAAAAGCCCAUUAAGUUAUGUGUGUUUUAGUGGAAUGCUCUGGGAAGUGCAACCAUAGUGGGUGAUAGUCCUGUACACGAAAGGGCACACAUAAUGAUGACGAGUAGGGCGAGGCACGUGAAACCUUGUCUGAAUAUGGGGGGACCAUCCUCCAAGGCUAAAUACUCCUGACUGACCGAUAGUGAACCAGUACCGUGAGGGAAAGGCGAAAAGAACCCCUGUGAGGGGAGUGAAAUAGAUCCUGAAACCGCAUGCAUACAAGCAGUGGGAGCCGACUUGUUCGGUGACUGCGUACCUUUUGUAUAAUGGGUCAGCGACUUAUAUUCAGUAGC
rnacentral:rRNA from 1 species